rnacentral:rRNA from 1 species
AUACCAGACUCCUACGGGAGGCAGCAGUGGGGAAUAUUGCACAAUGGGGGAAACCCUGAUGCAGCGACGCCGCGUGAGUGAAGAAGUAUUUCGGUAUGUAAAGCUCUAUCAGCAGGGAAGAAUAAAUGACGGUACCUGAGUAAGAAGCCCCGGCUAACUACGUGCCAGCAGCCGCGGUAAUACGUAGGGGGCAAGCGUUAUCCGGAUUUACUGGGUGUAAAGGGAGCGUAGACGGCGAUGCAAGCUAGAUGUGAAAGCCCGCGGCUCAACUGCGGUAGUGCAUUUGGAACUGUAUGGCUGGAGUGCAGGAGAGGCAGGCGGAAUUCCUAGUGUAGCGGUGAAAUGCGUAGAUAUUAGGAGGAACACCAGUGGCGAAGGCGGCCUGCUGGACUGUAACUGACGUUGAGGCUCGAAAGCGUGGGGAGCAAACAGGAUUAGAUACCCCCGUA